GACGAACGCUGGCGGCGUGCCUAAUACAUGCAAGUCGAACGCAGUGGGGACGGGUGAGUAACACGUGGGUAACCUCCCAUCAGAGGGGAUAACACUUGGAAACAGGUGCUAAACCGCUACUGAUGGAUGGACCCGCGGUGCAUUAGCUAGUUGGUGAGGUAACGGCUCACCAAGGCCACGAUGCAUAGCAGACCUGAGAGGAGGAUCGGAUACACUGGGACCGAGAAACGGCCCAGAAUCCGACGGGAGGCAGCAGUAGGGAAGCUUCGGCAAUGGACGCAAGGACGACCGAGCAACGCCGCGUGAGUGAAGAAGGUUUUCGGAUCGUAAAACUCUGUUGUUAGAGAAGCGGUAUCUAACCAGAAAGCCACGGCUAAUUACGUGCCAGCCGCCGCGGUAAUUC
rnacentral:rRNA from 1 species